rnacentral:tRNA from 1 species
UCCCUGGUGGUCCAGUGGUUAGGAUUCUACACUUCCAUUGCAGGGUGCACAGGUUCAAUCCUGGUCAAGGAA